rnacentral:rRNA from 1 species
CGUACACUCCUGCGGGAGGCAGCAGUGAGGAAUAUUGGACAAUGGGUGGAAGCCUGAUCCAGCCAUCCCGCGUGCAGGAAGACGGCCCUAUGGGUUGUAAACUGCUUUUAUCUGGGGAUAAACCUACUUACGUGUAAGUAGCUGAAGGUACCAGAAGAAUAAGCACCGGCUAACUCCGUGCCAGCAGCCGCGGUAAUACGGAGGGUGCAAGCGUUAUCCGGAUUUAUUGGGUUUAAAGGGUCCGUAGGCGGACUGAUAAGUCAGUGGUGAAAUCCGACAGCUUAACUGUCGAACUGCCAUUGAUACUGUUAGUCUUGAGUAAGGUUGAAGUGGCUGGAAUAAGUAGUGUAGCGGUGAAAUGCAUAGAUAUUACUUAGAACACCAAUUGCGAAGGCAGGUCACUAAGUCUUAACUGACGCUGAUGGACGAAAGCGUGGGGAGCGAACAGGAUUAGAAACCCGAGUAGUCC